rnacentral:misc_RNA from 1 species
UAACUGCGUGCAGACGUGUGAACUGCAGGACACAUGAACACCGACAUUUCGAACGCAUAUGGCGGCUUGAAAUAAAUUUCAAGCCACGUCUGGCUGAGGGUCGGAUAUAAAAUAAAAACAAAAGAUGCUCAAAGGGAUCUUAAAACUCACCUUUGUUCAAUUUACAUCGCUGAGUUCUUCAAAGCUUGGUUAGAUCACAAGUGUAUUGUUUGUUGAAGCUUGUAUACAAUGUCGUGUCUCAAGCAGCAGACAGAAAUUUUCUCGUGCUGUGGAAAGACAACAUUACACUAUCUCUAUAUGUAACUCCGGUUAUAUAUAUAACUCAUACUUGCGACCUCAGAGUAGACGAGAUUACCCGCUGAAUUUAA